rnacentral:rRNA from 1 species
AACGAACGCUGGCGGCGUGCCUAACACAUGCAAGUCGAACGAAACCUUCGGAUCUAUGGUCGCACGAUUUCGUAACGCGUGGGAAGCUACCCUCAUGGUCGGAAUAACUCAGAGAAAUGUGAGCUAAUACCGGAUGGUGACGUAAGUCCAAAGAUUUAUCGCCUGAGGAUGAGCCCGCGUAGGAUUAGGUAGUUGGUUAGGUAAAUGCUCACCAAGCCGACGAUCCUUAGCUGGUAUGAGAGGAUGAUCAGCCACACUGGGACUGAGACACGGCCCAGACUCCUACGCGAGGGAGCAGUGGGGAAUAUUGGACAAUGGGGGAAAGGAUGAUCCAGCAAUGACGCGUGAGCGAUGAAGGUAUUAGGGUUGUAAAGCUCUUUUAACCGGGAUGAUAAUGACAGUACCGGGAGAAUAAGCUACGGCUAACUCCGUG